UACGGGGGGGGUAAGCGUUGUUCGGAAUUACUGGGCGUAAAGGGCUCGUAGGCGGCCAACUAAGUCAGAUGUGAAAUCCCUCAGCUUAACUGGGGAACUGCGUCUGAUACUGGAUGGCUUGGAUUCGGGAGAGGAAUGCGGAAUUCCAGGUGUAGCGGUGAAAUGCGUAGAUAUCUGGAGGAACACCGGUGGCGAAGGCGGCAUUCUGGACCGACAUUGACGCUGAGGAGCGAAAGCCAGGGGAGCAAACGGG
rnacentral:rRNA from 1 species